rnacentral:rRNA from 1 species
UACGUAGGGGGCAAGCGUUGUCCGGAAUCAUUGGGCGUAAAGAGCUCGUAGGCGGUUUGUCGCGUCGACUGUGAAAACCUGGGGCUUAACUCUGGGCCUGCAGUCGAUACGGGCAGACUUGAGUUCGGUAGGGGAGACUGGAAUUCCUGGUGUAGCGGUGAAAUGCGCAGAUAUCAGGAAGAACACCCGUGGCGAAGGCGGCUCUCUGGGACGGUACUGACGCUGAGACGCGAAAGCGUGGGGAGCGAACAGG